rnacentral:rRNA from 1 species
AUUGAACGCUGGCGGCAGGCCUAACACAUGCAAGUCGAGCGGAUGAAGCGAGCUUGCUCCUGGAUUCAGCGGCGGACGUGUGAGUAAUGCCUAGGAAUCUGCCUGGUAGUGGGGGAUAACGUCCGGAAACGGGCGCUAAUACCGCAUACGUCCUGAGGGAGAAAGUGGGGGAUCUUCGGAUCUCACGCUAUCAGAUGAGCCUAGGUCGGAUUAGCUAGUUGGUGGGGUAAAGGCCUACCAAGGCGACGAUCCGUAACUGGUCUGAGAGGAUGAUCAGUCACACUGGAACUGAGACACGGUCCAGACUCCUACGGGAGGCAGAAGUGGGGAAUAUUGGACAAAGGGCGAAAGACUGAACAAGCCAUGCAGCGUGGGUGAAGAAGGUCUUCGGAUUGUAAAGCACUUUAAGUGGGGAGGAAGGGCAGUAAGUUAAUACCUUGCUGUUUUGACGUUACCAACAGAAUAAGCACCGGCUAACUUCGUG